UAUUAACACUUAUGGCGGCGUAAAAUUUCGAACCGUGUCAGGGGGGAAACUCAGCAGCACUAAGAAAACCUUUACGGGUGUCAUAUUUGUUAAAGUAG
rnacentral:SRP_RNA from 1 species